GCGUCAUUUCAACCCUCAAGCUCUGCUUGGUGUUGGGCGUCUUGUCCCGCCUUAGUGCGCGGACUCGCCUCAAAAGCAUCGGCGCUGGCAUGUUGGCCUGGAGCGUAGCAAAACACGCGCAAAGGCCCGACGUGGUAGCAGCCGCAACCCCCUUUUUUAUUUUUGACCUCGGAUCAGGUAGGGAUACCCGCUGAACUUAA
rnacentral:misc_RNA from 1 species